rnacentral:rRNA from 3 species
UGUUUCGGCUAGGGGGCCAUCCCGGCUUACCAACCCGAUGCAAACUGCGAAUACCGGAGAAUGUUAUCACGGGAGACACACGGCGGGUGCUAACGUCCGUCGUGAAGAGGGAAACAACCCAGACCGCCAGCUAAGGUCCCAAAGUCAUGGUUAAGUGGGAAACGAUGUGGGAAGGCCCAGACAGCCAGGAUGUUGGCUUAGAAGCAGCCAUCAUUUAAAGAAAGCGUAAUAGCUCACUGGUCGAGUCGGCCUGCGCGGAAGAUGUAACGGGGCUAAACCAUGCACCGAAGCUGCGGCAGCGACACUGUGUGUUGUUGGGUAGGGGAGCGUUCUGUAAGCCUGUGAAGGUGUGCUGUGAGGCAUGCUGGAGGUAUCAGAAGUGCGAAUGCUGACAUAAGUAACGAUAAAGCGGGUGAAAAGCCCGCUCGCCGGAAGACCAAGGGUUCCUGUCCAACGUUAAUCGGGGCAGGGUGAGUCGACCCCUAAGGCGAGGCCGAAAGGCGUAGUCGAUGGGAAACGGGUUAAUAUUCCCGUACUUGGUGUUACUGCGAAGGGGGGACGGAGAAGGCUAUGUUGGCCGGGCGACGGUUGUCCCGGUUUAAGCGUGUAGGUGUGUGUUCCAGGUAAAUCCGGUUCACUUUAACACUGAGGCGUGAUGACGAGGCACUACGGUGCUGAAGCAACAAAUGCCCUGCUUCCAGGAAAAGCCUCUAAGCAUCAGGUAACAUCAAAUCGUACCCCAAACCGACACAGGUGGUCAGGUAGAGAAUACCAAGGCGCUUGAGAGAACUCGGGUGAAGGAACUAGGCAAAAUGGUGCCGUAACUUCGGGAGAAGGCACGCUGACACGUAGGUGAAGUGAUUUACUCACGGAGCUGAAGUCAGUCGAAGAUACCAGCUGGCUGCAACUGUUUAUUAAAAACACAGCACUGUGCAAACACGAAAGUGGACGUAUACGGUGUGACGCCUGCCCGGUGCCGGAAGGUUAAUUGAUGGGGUCAGCGCAAGCGAAGCUCCUGAUCGAAGCCCCGGUAAACGGCGGCCGUAACUAUAACGGUCCUAAGGUAGCGAAAUUCCUUGUCGGGUAAGUUCCGACCUGCACGAAUGGCGUAAUGAUGGCCAGGCUGUCUCCACCCGAGACUCAGUGAAAUUGAACUCGCUGUGAAGAUGCAGUGUACCCGCGGCAAGACGGAAAGACCCCGUGAACCUUUACUAUAGCUUGACACUGAACAUUGAGCCUUGAUGUGUAGGAUAGGUGGGAGGCUUUGAAGCGUGGACGCCAGUCUGCGUGGAGCCGACCUUGAAAUACCACCCUUUAAUGUUUGAUGUUCUAACGUGGACCCGUGAUCCGGGUUGCGGACAGUGUCUGGUGGGUAGUUUGACUGGGGCGGUCUCCUCCUAAAGAGUAACGGAGGAGCACGAAGGUUGGCUAAUCCUGGUCGGACAUCAGGAGGUUAGUGCAAUGGCAUAAGCCAGCUUGACUGCGAGCGUGACGGCGCGAGCAGGUGCGAAAGCAGGUCAUAGUGAUCCGGUGGUUCUGAAUGGAAGGGCCAUCGCUCAACGGAUAAAAGGUACUCCGGGGAUAACAGGCUGAUACCGCCCAAGAGUUCAUAUCGACGGCGGUGUUUGGCACCUCGAUGUCGGCUCAUCACAUCCUGGGGCUGAAGUAGGUCCCAAGGGUAUGGCUGUUCGCCAUUUAAAGUGGUACGCGAGCUGGGUUUAGAACGUCGUGAGACAGUUCGGUCCCUAUCUGCCGUGGGCGCUGGAGAACUGAGGGGGGCUGCUCCUAGUACGAGAGGACCGGAGUGGACGCAUCACUGGUGUUCGGGUUGUCAUGCCAAUGGCACUGCCCGGUAGCUAAAUGCGGAAGAGAUAAGUGCUGAAAGCAUCUAAGCACGAAACUUGCCCCGAGAUGAGUUCUCCCUGAGACUACGAGUCUCCUGAAGGAACGUUGAAGACGACGACGUUGAUAGGCCGGGUGUGUAAGCGCAGCGAUGCGUUGAGCUAACCGGUACUAAUGAACCGUGAGGCUUAACCUUAC